GAUGAAGAACGCAGCGAACUGCGAUAAGUAAUGUGAAUUGCAGAAUUCAGUGAAUCAUCGAGUCUUUGAACGCACAUUGCGCCCCCUGGCAUUCCGGGGGGCAUGCCUGUCCGAGCGACAUUGCUGCCCUUCAAGCCCGGCUUGUGUGUUGGGUCGUCGUCCCCCCCGGGGGACGGGCCCGAAAGGCAGCGGCGGCACCGCGUCCGGUCCUCGAGCGUAUGGGGCUUUGUCACCCGCUCGAUUAGGGCCGGCCGGGCGCCAGCCGGCGUCUCCAACCUUCUAUUUUACCAGGUUGACCUCGGAUCAGGUAGGGAUACCCGCUGAACUUAAGCAUAUCAAUAAGCGGAGGA
rnacentral:misc_RNA from 1 species